rnacentral:misc_RNA from 1 species
UAAUAAGUGUUUUAUAGCACUUUUUAAAUCCAUAUCCACCUUGUGUGCAAUGUCAGUCGAUCUUCUUCAUGGAGAUCGACCAAACAUCAACCUUUAUCUUUUAACUCUUGUCUGAAAAAUAUUAUGAAUAAACAAUUCAAAAUA